AUUGAACGCUGGCGGCAUGCUUUACACAUGCAAGUCGAACGGUAACAGGCCUUCGGGUGCUGACGAGUGGCGAACGGGUGAGUAAUGCAUCGGAACGUGCCCAGAGGUGGGGGAUAACGCAGCGAAAGCUGUGCUAAUACCGCAUGUGAUCUGAGGAUGAAAGCGGGGGACCAGGCAGCAAUGUUUGGCCUCGCGCCUUUGGAGCGGCCGAUGUCAGAUUAGGUAGUUGGUGGGGUAAAGGCCUACCAAGCCGACGAUCGGUAGCUGGUCUGAGAGGACGACCAGCCACACUGGGACUGAGACACGGCCCAGACUCCUACGGGAGGCAGCAGUGGGGAAUUUUGGACAAUGGGCGCAAGCCUGAUCCAGCAAUGCCGCGUGCGGGAAGAAGGCCUUCGGGUUGUAAACCGCUUUUGUAAGGAACGAAAAGGCUCUGGCUAAUACCUGGGGCUGAUGACGGUACCGUAAGAAUAAGCACCGGCUAACUACGUG
rnacentral:rRNA from 1 species